AUUGAACGCUGGCGGCAUGCUUUACACAUGCAAGUCGAACGGCAGCGCGUGCUUCGUCCUUGCUUCGAGUGGCGAACGGGUGAGUAAUACAUCGGAACGUGCCCAGUAGUGGGGGAUAGCUCGGCUUAAGCCGCAUUAAUACCGCAUACGACCUGAUGGUGAAAGCGGUGGAUCUUCGGACCUCUCGCUCUUUUAUCAGCCGAUGGCAGAUUUGCUAGUUGGUGGGGUAAAGGCCUACCAAGGCGACGAUCUGUAGCUGGUCUGAGAGGAGGACCAGCCACACUGGGACUGAGACACGGCCCAGAAUCCCACGGGAGGCAGCAGUGGGGAAUUUUGGACAAUGGGCGAAAGCCUGAUCCAGCAAUGCCGCGUGUGUGAUGAAGGCCUUCGGGUUGUAAAGCACUUUUGGCGGGAACGAAAAGGAGUGUGCCAAUACCACGGUUCGAUGACGGUACCCGCAGAAUAAGCACCGGCUAACUACGUG
rnacentral:rRNA from 1 species